GUGAGCUGUGCUGGGAAAUGCAUAGAAACUCUGUGUAUAACGGGAUUAAUUAAACAAAGGACUGAUUCCUUGGUAUCAAGGACUGGCUACUGGGAGAGCACAAUGAAUCUCCAAAGGACUUGGAAUGCAUGGGUAUCUUGGAGAAGCAUGGUGCUAAGAAGAACAAAGGAUUAUGGUGAUCUAGAACAGCAGACUGUGAGAUUUUGAUAAUUUGCCCUAGUCCAGGUUUGAACAGUCAGAAUACUACUAAUGGUAACGUAUGGGCAACAUUCCUAACAAAAUGUAUCCGAACCUUGUGCUUUGUUAAGGCGGUUUUAAUUAUAUAUGCUAAAUAGAAUACUACGUGUAGGCCUUUACCUUAGGCAGUACAAGUGCACAUUUAUUACAUGCAUUAUUUUAACAUUGUUGCAAUUUUUAUUCUACACAGUGUUACAUAAAAUAUAUGGA